CUAAAAGGAUUAACACUCGAACCAUCAAACUACCUAGUGAUUGAAGACUCACUAAAAUGUUGCAGGUAAACGACCCGGCUUGACUACCAAUACUCCGCGUGAGCUGCCUAGAAAGCCUACAGCUUCGCAUACUACUGUCUAAGACAGAAUCCAAAGGCGAGACCCCUCAUGAGUGAUGUUGUGGAGACUCUUGAGCCCUUACAAUGCAGUAGUGCAAGUGAAGUCUCAGCUCAUACACCAAUUCUUGACAGUCUUUUUGACUAAAAAAAUAUUUUGUAAUAAAAAUAGAUAAAUAGUGUAAAAAAUUUUACAUUUUGAUUAAUACACUUGAGCUCAUUAAUUGUCAAUAAAAACCAAUGAAAUUAAAAUUAGAAA